rnacentral:tRNA from 1 species
GCGAGGGUUGCCGAGAGGUCAAAGGCGAUGGAUUUAGGGUCCAUUCUCGCAGGAGUUCGGGGGUUCAAAUCCCCUCCCUCGCA